UAGGGAAUCUUCGGCAAUGGACGGAANUCUGGACCGAGCAACCNNNCGUGAGUGAAGAAGGUUUUCGGAUCGUAAAGCUCUGUUGUAAGAGAAGAACGAGUGUGAGAGUGGGAAGUUCACACUGUGACGGUAUCUUACCAGAAAGGGACGGCUAACUACGUGCCAGCAGCCGCGGUAAUACGUAGGUCCCGAGCGUUGUCCGGAUUUAUUGGGCGUAAAGCGAGCGCAGGCGGUUAGAUAAGUCUGAAGUUAAAGGCUGUGGCUUAACCAUAGUACGCUUUGGAAACUGUUUAACUUGAGUGCAAGAGGGGAGAGUGGAAUUCCAUGUGUAGCGGUGAAAUGCGUAGAUAUAUGGAGGAACACCGGUGGCGAAAGCGGCUCUCUGGCUUGUAACUGACGCUGAGGCUCGAAAGCGUGGGGAGCAAACAGGAUUAGAUACCCUGGUAGUCCACGCCGUAAACGAUGAGUGCUAGGUGUUAGACCCUUUCCGGGGUUUAGUGCCGCAGCUAACGCAUUAAGCACUCCGCCUGGGGAGUACGACCGCAAGUUG
rnacentral:rRNA from 1 species